rnacentral:misc_RNA from 1 species
AAGACUAUAGACCUGCGGAGUACCUGCGGAAGGAUCAUUAUUGAGUUUUCUGCGUAACUGUAGAUUUCUCCACCCAUUGUCAAAUGAAUUGUUGCUUUGGUGAAACGUAGUGGUAAAACACUCCAUCGGGUUGGGUGACUGACCGGGUGUGAUUUCGCCAAAGUUUUUUGAAACUCGAGUCUUGCAGUCUGAUUUUAUAAAGAAAAUUUAUAAAAACUUUUAACAACGGAUCUCUAGAUC